GGAUAGAAUUUACUUUGUGUGGGGCAGCGAAGCUGAGGCUUCCUCAUCGGAGAUACGAAAUCAAACUUGAACUCGAACUGCGAAUGCAAACGACGAAACGCAACGAAAGUAAAGAAAGCGUAAUCAGAAAUUAUAAAAUUAAAAAAAAUAGUGAGUGAAAGAGUAUGGUGCCCCAAUAAAUUUCCCAAUUUUUACCUCUUCAACCAUCCUCAAAGUGAAAAAGAGACCCCUUUUAUAGGCAAAAAUAGAACGGCUCCUUGGAGGAGCAUUGAGAAUUUGAAAUUUGAAUUAAAAAAAGUGAUAGUUUAGUGAAGAAAAAUCAUCUUUUCAGAAGAGAUUUGAAAGUUUGAGACUUUUAUAGAAAUUUUGAUAUAGUAGGCUUGAGUUUUUCAAGAAAGGCAAGCUCUUUGUCAAUCAAGAAUGGCCCAAAGACCAUUGAACCUCUAGCUACUCCUUUUCAGAGGUUUGCAGUGAAGGAGGAGAGAAGCUCUCGGAUGUUCACCAUUGUUUGGUGGUUUGCAGUGAAGGAGGAGAGAAGCUCUCGGAUGUUCACCAUUGUUUGGUGGUUUGAGGGUGGUUCGGUGUUGUUGGUUGAUGUUGUUUGAUAGAAAUUGGGUUGUUGUUCCUUGC
rnacentral:lncRNA from 1 species